UCGUACAACCGAGGUGCGAGGGCUGUCGCUGACCUCCAAAGGUCGUGCACGCCCGAGCGCUCUCACACAAAAUCCAUCUCACCCCUUUGUGCAUCACCGCGCGGGUCCCCCCUUUGCAGGAGGGCUCACGUUUUCACACAAAAUUCGAUACAGUCUAGAAUGUUUUGUUUUUGCGGUCACACGCAAUCAAUA
rnacentral:misc_RNA from 1 species